rnacentral:rRNA from 1 species
AUUGAACGCUGGCGGCAGGCCUAACACAUGCAAGUCGAACGAGUGGCGGACGGGUGAGUAAUGUCUGGGAAACUGCCUGAUGGAGGGGGAUAACUACUGGAAACGGUAGCUAAUACCGCAUACCAUCGGAUGUGCCCAGAUGGGAUUAGCUAGUAGGUGGGGUAAAGGCUCACCUAGGCGACGAUCCCUAGCUGGUCUGAGAGGAUGACCGGCCAAACUGGAACUGAGACACGGUCCAGACUCCUACGGGAGGAAGCAGUGGGGAAUAUUGAACAAUGGGGGCAAGCCGGAUGCGGCCAGGCCGGGUGUAGGAAGAAGGCCUUCGGGUUGUAAAGUACUUUCAGCGGGGAGGCGUUACCCGCAGAAGAAGCACCGGCUAACUCCGUGCCAGCGGCCGCGGUAAUU